AGCAGCCGCGGUAAUUCCAGCUCCAAUAGCGUAUAUUAAAGUUGUUGCAGUUAAAAGCUCGUAGUUGAAUUUCGGGAUCAAUAUGUUGGUCGUGCCUCGGUACGUACUAGCAUAUUGGUUUCUCCUUUCUGAAGAACCAUGAUGUCAUUUAUUUGGUGUCGUGGGGAAUCAGGACUGUUACUUUGAAAAAAUUAGAGUGUUUAAAGCAGGCUCACGCUUGAAUACAUUAGCAUGGAAUAAUGAAAUAGGACGUUUGAUUCUAUUUUGUUGGUUUCUAGGAUCGACGUAAUGAUUAAUAGGGAUAGUUGGGGGCAUUAGUAUUCAAUUGUCAGAGGUGAAAUUCUUGGAUUUAUUGAAGACUAACUACUGCGAAAGCAUUUGCCAAGGAUGUUUUCAUUAAUCAAGAACGAAAGUUAGGGGAUCGAAGACGAUCAGAUACCGUCGUAGUCUUAACCAUAAACUAUGCUGACUAGGGAUCGGAUGAUGUU
rnacentral:misc_RNA from 1 species